UACAGAGGGUGCAAGCGUUAAUCGGAAUGACUGGGCGUAAAGGGUGCGUAGGUGGCUGUUUAAGUGAGAUGUGAAAUCCCCGGGCUUAACCUGGGAACGGCAUUUGAUACUGGACGGCUCGAGUAUGGGAGAGGUAAGUGGAAUUUCCGGUGUAGCGGUGAAAUGCGUAGAUAUCGGAAGGAACACCAGUGGCGAAGGCGGCUUACUGGCCUAAUACUGACACUGAGGCACGAAAGCGUGGGGAGCAAACAGG
rnacentral:rRNA from 1 species